ACCUUGCUGUCGAGUGCUAAGUAGCACGAAACCCGGGUCCAAGGU
rnacentral:hammerhead_ribozyme from 1 species